AGGUGAUGAAAGUUAUAGCCCCGCUGGAAAAGGGUGAUAACAGGAGCCUUACUGAAGGGUUUGACAUUCAGGCCACAAUCCAGCUAGAUAGUUUACUAUCGAAAGAAAAUGUCAUUA
rnacentral:sRNA from 20 species